GAAACUACCGUUGAAUCGAAAAAUAGACGUCCGAGAUUCGUCCACGUCACCAUGAGUUAAAAUUUAACUCGCAGAUUCACUCAUGAGUUAAAAUUUUACUAGGAGUUAAAUUUUAACUCAUGAUGACGUGGACGAAUCUCGGACGUCCAUUUCUCGAUCC
rnacentral:pre_miRNA from 1 species